CCUCUUCUGGUGCUUCUGGAUCUACGUCAGAUAUACAUGCAGGGGUUAGAAUGCAAACUUUUUGAAUAACAGACUAUACAACUUAUCAUGAAUAAGUUGCAAGCCAAACACACAAAAUCUAAAAAGAUUUAACCUAUGCUUUUAUUUUUCUUAAUUAACCCUUCCUAUAGCGUUUCCUUUAAUUUUUAGAAAAGGUGGUAAAUAAUUUCUAACUUGAAAAUCUAAUUUCCUAUGGGUUAAGAAUUAUUUGUGAUUGAUGAAGUAUUAUUCAUAUUUUUAUACAUUUUAUAAAUAUUAAGUAUUUAUUUAAUUACCUUAAAAGGAAGGCAUUAAAUAAAUACCCAAAUUUUUAUUAUUUUCCUAGGGUGUAAAAAUUUUAAUGCAUAAAGGAAAAUAAAAUAAGCCUAACAAAAUUGGUUUCACUAAUUUUGGACACUCCUACAAAUUUCUGUGAUUAAAAUGGUGUAAAACGAAUUUAAACGGAUUAAAUUGCUAAAGGAAAUCUAAUUUUUCCCGAAAAUCGCCCGGCAAACUUUUCUUACUCACCCACGCUCUACCCUCUCGCACACACGCUGGGCCCCACGGCGCGGACCCCACUUUUCUAUUCACCUAUACCCGCCGGCCUUACCUCCCCUCUCUGACGGGCCCCCCCGGGCCGAUUUCUUUUUCUUUUUCUUUCCCCGGCCCGAUACCGGCCUAGCGGCCUUCUUUCUUUUUCCUCCACUUUUACGCGAACGCGGCCUACUUCACUGGGCCUUCGCAACGCGCCGGCCCUCUUUCUUUUUACGGUCGACCGCGUACGCGCGUCACUGGGCCUCCGCUGCGCCGGCCCAACAACUGGCCGCACCGCUUCGGACUCCUUCCUCCCCUUUCUUCUCACUACCGCACGGCCCGAGCGCGCAGCGCUUCUUCUACCUCCCGCCAGAACGCGUCCGCGACAGGGGGCGGCGCGGCUCGCCGGCCGGCGCCCUCCCGGCGGAGGAACCAGGCGACGACACCAACCCUAGACCUACACGACCCCGUGCGCGGCAACAGCUUCCCCGGAAACGACCGGAGCUAUCCCCUCCACGGCGACGGGUGGCGACUCCCUCGGCCGGCCGUGGUUACUCGCGACAACGGCAAAACUUACUCCAACAACUACCCUUACACCCUUCUGGGACCCUAAGGACUCGAUUACAACUACUUAGGAAGAAAAAGAGGUGGCGCAAGAUGGUUCUCACCGUGAGCGGGCGGCGCGACGGUGGCGGACAGAAGCGGCGGUGAGCACGGCUAUCCCGGCAAGGAUGUGGGACAACGACUGGCUCAGGGUGUAGCUGGGGUGUCUGUGGAGGAGUGGGCGAGAGGAAUCGACGGAAGCUACUGGGAGGUGGUAGAAUUUUGCGCGGCGGCGAUACUGAUCAGAGGAGAGCGGGCGGCGGUAAAAAGGGAUGGCAGUGAAACGGUGGCGCGGGAACAGUAAACAUUCAAGGGUUUCACCGCGCGCAUGGCUGCCACCGUGGUCUACCCCUAGGCUUGCGUGGUGAGGAGGUGGCCUAGCUAGUCGUGCUGGCGGACGACCGACGGCGGCGGCGGCGACACGUCUGGGUGCUCUGUCACCGCUCCUCCCGCCCGUGAUCUUCAGAAACAACUGGUGUUCGAUCCUCAAUCCAACGGCCUCCCAUGCUUUAACCGAGUUGGAAGAUAAUCUCGAGCCUGGCAUCUUUUAUUUUGGCAUCGGCUCAAGAUAAACAUCCAAUUUGAUGGAAUUUGGAUUUGUUUUCUCAAGUUCUUCUGAAUUUCGACCGAAACCUUUAUUCAGUUUCGUCAGUCGUCGACAGUGUCAUGGAGCUCACUUAAUGACUCGAUUUCAUGAUCAAAUUCUUCUGCCCUCAGUCCAACUUCUCCUCAAACAUGUUCUAUAUUGUCCCAAUGUUCCAUUUUGCUCAUGAACGAGUACCCUCUCUUAACUACAUUGCUCUGAAUUUAAUCCCAAAGUUGAGGUCAUACUGUCAUUCAGACUUAGCAAAAUUUCAGAGUUUCAGUCACUUGUGAUUUUGUGCUGAUUUUGAGCUCGAGUUUGACUUCCUUCCCUUUACUGUUCCUGACCAAAAACACAUGAUUAUUGUAGUCCAAAGUUCACACUUCAAUAUGGUAUAGUUGUCAUGGUGCACUUAGUUGAAAAAUUCUCCAGAAAUGAAUUUUGAAAACAGACUCUAUGGCUGUUUUUCUGAAUUGCUGUUUUCGGACGGUGAACAGUAAACAGCAAUUCUUCUUUUUCUUUUUCUUUCUCUAAUUCUUUUGUGAUAAUUAGCACUAAUCUGGUUCCAACUUUUUGAUCCCUUACUUCUAAAUACUCUUACACUUGUAUUCCACAUAUUUGACAAAUUUUGCUGAAUUUCAAAUUUGAAAUUUCAAAUUUCGGUCAAAAUUUGGCCGAAUUUGGAAUUUUUGCUAAUUUCCUUUCUUUUUCUUUUGGAUUUCUUUCUGAAUUUUCAUGGUCACUGUAUUACUUCAAAUGGCACUUAUUACAUAUCGUCAAGAUGACACAAGUCAACUCAUGACAAGCUCACCCUAGAAACGAUACAGGUAUCGAAAGCAAAGCUCAAAGUGAUCUAAAUACAUGCAUGACAUGGCGGAAGCAGAACAUAAAGUGAUUCCAACAAAUUUGCACCAAAGAGAUUAAAAGGUUACUACUAACAAAUUUCUCACCUAAGCAUGCAAGGGAAAAAGAUUACUUUAAGUGCUAAGCAUGAUUAGCAAAGAGAGAUCAAAAAGUAGCUAACGCAGUUAAUCACUAAUUAGCUAACUAGUUUCAAGGAUUAAAAAGUAAACUACCAUAAAUAACGGAGAACAAAAAAAAACAACCUCACUGCUUGUACGCACGACCUGCUGCUCACCUGGACUUGCGCUAUUGGGCUGCGUGCCCCUGUUGCUCCCUGGAGGCCCACCUGGGUGCUGGUGCGUGAGCCAAGCCAACGCUGCUGGGCCGCACGCCUGCUGGGCUUCUCGGCAGCAAGCUGGGCCGCUACACUCGCGCCUGGUCAGCUGCUCACCCCGACGCCCUGAAGCCUGCAGAUGAACAGAGACAAGGAACAGGAAGAACAAAGGAAGAACUCGAAACUUCAACUCUAAAAUCCUCACUCAAAACUCCACGAAUCGAGACGAAACUUGAGCCAUAGAUGCGCAACUUAAGGGCUAAUAGAUUCAUGGAAAAGAUCUCAAAAACCUCAAGGAUUUAUCGCGGAUUUUGGAGAGAGCCGAAACUCUAACUCAAGAAUACGAUUUGGGAAAAACUCAAAAUCAAGCCGGAUUCGUGAGGGAUUUGAAAAGGGAUCAUAUCAAAGAUGUUCUCCAAGGUCCUAGCAACAUUUCACUUCAACCAAUCUCACAAGAUUCGGGCUCAAACGUGAUGAACGAAAAUUCCCCAAAAAUAGUUCCGAAAAUAGGGAAAAAGAAAAACGCUCGGGAAUCAAAGAUUUAGCACGAUUUGAGACAACAAAUAAAGCUAAAUCACGAGAACAUCUUCUAUACAAGAUGAGGACUAGCCUCCUCCCUUCAUCCACCCACUAAAGAUGAAGAAAUCAAGAAAGCGAGAGCAAUUACCCUCUCAUCUCCCUCUUUUCUCUCACUAAACAUAUGAUUAACCUCUAAGCCAAAAGAUAAUGAGUUGUUA
rnacentral:lncRNA from 1 species